rnacentral:rRNA from 1 species
AACGAACGCUGGCGGCAGGCUUAACACAUGCAAGUCGAACGCACCGCAAGGUGAGUGGCAGACGGGUGAGUAACACGUGGGGAUCUGCCCAAUGGUACGGAAUAGCUCCGGGAAACUGGAAUUAAUACCGUAUGUGCCCGCAAGGGGAAAGAUUUAUCGCCAUUGGAUGAACCCGCGUCGGAUUAGCUAGUUGGUGUGGUAAAGGCGCACCAAGGCGACGAUCCGUAGCUGGUCUGAGAGGAUGAUCAGCCACACUGGGACUGAGACACGGCCCAGACUCCUACGGGAGGCAGCAGUGGGGAAUAUUGGACAAUGGGCGCAAGCCUGAUCCAGCCAUGCCGCGUGAGUGAUGAAGGCCUUAGGGUUGUAAAGCUCUUUCGCCGACGAAGAUAAUGACGGUAGUCGGAGAAGAAGCCCCGGCUAACUUCGUGCCAGCAGCCGCCGCAGUAA